rnacentral:tRNA from 1 species
GGGGGCGUAGUUCAGAUGGUUAGAAUGCCUGCCUGUCACGCAGGAGGUCACGGGUUCGAGUCCCGUCGCUCCCG